rnacentral:rRNA from 1 species
AUUGAACGCUGGCGGCAGGCCUAACACAUGCAAGUCGAACGAGUGGCGGACGGGUGAGUAAUGUCUGGGAAACUGCCCGAUGGAGGGGGAUAACUACUGGAAACGGUAGCUAAUACCGCAUACCAUCGGAUGUGCCCAGAUGGGAUGAGCUAGGAGGUGGGGUAAUGGCUCACCUAGGCGACGAUCCCUAGCUGGUCUGAGCGGAUGACCAGCCAAACUGGACCGGAGACACGGGCCAGACUCCUACGGUAGGCAGCAGUGGGGAAUAUGGCACAAUGGGCGCAAGCCUGAUGCAGCCAUGCCGCGUGUAUGAAGAAGGCCUUCGGGUUGUAAAGUACUUUCAGCGAGGAGGCGUUACUCGCAGAAGAAGCACCGGCUAACUCCGUGCCAGCCGCCGCGGUAAUAC